rnacentral:lncRNA from 1 species
CCUGGUGGUGCACGUCCCCAACCUUAUGUGGAUUUCCUAAAUUCUGCAAAAAAGGUUUGGAAGCUGAUCAAUCAAUACUGGAACUCCCUCUUCUCCAGAAGAGACAUCCUGGCCUCCAUGCAGAGGAAUGUGUGGAUGGACAUAUAUUUAAGGAAGACACUAAACCAGAAACUACUACAUUACACCCUCUUAGAAGAAUUCUAAGAUUGUUGUCAUGCCUACCACAGACAUUCAGAUGAUGUGUAUUGUUGAUUGUGAUUUCAUGUUUGGACCUGAUGAAGGAGUUUGAAGUCUCCAGAGCAGCAAAGAGAGUGGGGAGUAGAACUAUUCAUCUUUAGGUCACUCAUCAUCG